rnacentral:tRNA from 1 species
AAAUAAGAAACAAUAUUUUGUAUUUAGUUUCGACCUAAAAUUUAGAUGAAGACCCCCAUCCUUAUUUA